rfam:Pseudomonas sp. 1 R 17 genome assembly PSEFL294_LIB5394, contig: PSEFL294_LIB5394_000042
ACUAUUUGGUCUGGAUCGCUGUCGUCGACAGCACCUACCCAGGUGACCUUGAUCUAGAAGGUCACGACGCCAUAAGCGCGUUGAUCAGAUGCAGUUCGCAAAGCAUUCGGGAGCGCGAACAGUCGUCGACUUUUCGCCGACCGGAUGC